UACAGAGGGUGCAAGCGUUAAUCGGAAUUACUGGGCGUAAAGCGUGCGUAGACGGUUACAUAAGUCGGGUGUGAAAGCCCCGGGCUCAACCUGGGAAUUGCAUUCGAGACUGCGUAGCUAGGGUGCGGAAGAGGGAAGCGGAAUUUCCGGUGUAGCGGUGAAAUGCGUAGAUAUUCGGAGGAACACCGGUGGCGAAGGCGGCUACCUGGCACACAACUGACGCUGAGGCCCGAAAGCGUGGGGAUCAAACAGG
rnacentral:rRNA from 1 species